CUAGAGGCCAGGCAGUGGUGGCACACACCUUUAAUCUCAGAACAUGGGAGGAGAAAACAGGAAGUGAUAUGGCUGGUCAGAGAAAGGAAGUAAUAAGUGGACAGAAAAGAACAGAAGCUAUCUGCACAACCAGAAAAUCCCUAGGAGAAGUGCUGAAAUGUGAAUGUCUUCUGACCGCAAUGGACCUCAUGAAAGGGGAAAGAGGUCAGUAAUGAAAUCGGUACACUUUGCUUCUUGGUUCUCUUCAGAUCUUG